GGCGGCAUGGCCAAGUGGUAAGGCGGGGGACUGCAAAUCCUUUAUCCCCAGUUCAAAUCCGGGUGUCGCCUGAUCAACAA
rnacentral:tRNA from 6 species